rnacentral:rRNA from 1 species
UACGUAGGUGGCGAGCGUUGUCCGGAUUUACUGGGCGUAAAGAGCGCGCAGGCGGUCAUUCAAGUCGAGUGUGAAAGCCCCCGGCUCAACUGGGGAGGGUCACUCGAUACUGUUUGACUCGAAGGCGGGAGAGGGAAGUGGAAUUCCCGGUGUAGUGGUGAAAUGCGUAGAUAUCGGGAGGAACACCAGUGGCGAAGGCGACUUCCUGGCCCGUUCUUGACGCUGAGGCGCGAAAGCUAGGGGAGCAAACGGG